UGUUGCACUUUCACCACCGCUAACAAUCUGAAACAUCGCGCAGACGUGUACUCGCUCUGUAGUUUGUAGCUCGCGCUCCGGCUACUGUAAACAACUCCACCUUCUUUGAUUUGAUUGGCUAUCGCAUCAUUUUGAUUUUGACAAGCACUUUAGACUGCUGAUUGAGGCAGACAGAUAGAAAUAGGCGUUGCACAGUAUUUACAAUUAUAUAUUAGGCCGUUAUUAUUCCAAUAGUGAUUGCUAUUACACACCACGGGGAUCUUAAUGGUGGGCACGAGCCUGCGUGAAAAAAUGGAUUUGGUCGUAAGAGCGUGAGAAAUGGGGUCAAUUGAGUGUGCCUUGCCAUGUAGGAGUAUUUUCUCAAGGCCUGCGACUGAGGGUCAUAUUUCAAUUCAAAGGAUGAUACUGAAGAACAGAAAGUGAUUGAGAUGCCUCCAUCUUGGGUUUGGAAAUGCGUUACCCAGGAGUCAUGAAAGUUAUCUAGAACAGGAAAGUCAAGCACCUUAUCUUCUAAAAGAUGCUCUGGUGACCAGACUUACAGGGAUCUUGAGCCACAAAACCUGAGACUGUGAAGGAGUGGUUUAAACAUGGCAGUGAUUGUCUUGAGGAGGAAAAACUGCAGAACAUUAGGCGGUGAAGGAGCGAUGCUCUUAAAUAUGGUUAAGGAGAAGUUUCACGGAGCCAGUAAAGAAGUGGCUAAAAGGAUCGUUAUGAUGUCGGAUGCCAGAUCCACCUAAACUUUCAUCUAGAGCAGUGUUUCCAAAUCCUGGUCCUUGAGUACCCCCUCCUAGAAAGUUUUAUAUGACUCCUUAUUUAAAACACUUGAUUCAACUCAACAGCUUGUUAGGGAGACCUGUUAACCAUUCUGGAAGGAGGCUGAUUGGUUGUUUUAAAUAAGGAGACAUCUACAACUUUCUGGAAAGGGGUACUUGAGGACCAGGAUUGGGAAGGACUGAUCAUGACGAAGAUGGAAAGAUCCUAUUUCAUCAAAGCUAAAGAAGCAGGAGACUUGGGACACAAGCACAAGCUCACUCCAGACAUGGUUUCUGGCUUUCAGGUUGACAGCGUCAGACAGUUUUUGGAGGAGGGCACAGCGUUGGAUGCCAGAUUCAAGUCAAAAGUGUCAGAUGAAGUGUGGUACAGACUGGAGGAGGAGCUGAUAUAAAUGAACAGGCUCAGGGCCAGCAGAUGAAUCAGGGGCUUAAAGAGAGAGCAGAUGACCAAGAUGACUGCAUAUAUGAUGAAGACAUCUGUGCAUCUGCCAGUGAAACAGUGAAGAGGCCAAAGCUCUCUGCCCUCGAGGAGCUGUUUGCUGUAGAGGACAUGGAAAUAAAGUAAGAAAAGAGACCACCAGCACUGAUAAGGCACUACAGAUUACUUCCAUCUCCUCAGUCCUCAGCGAGUCCAGUAACCCUGGUGGUGUGACAUGAAGGACAUGGCCAAUGCUGUUUUUGAUAUGGCUACAGGGUAUCUCUGUGUGCAAGCAACAUCCACACCCUCAGAGCGUGCAUUUUCUACUGCAUUGAAAAUGUUUUAAUGAUACCUAGCCCUAUAUCAGUGUUUCUCAAACUUUUUCAGCAUAGGGACCACUUUAUCUUCAGAUUUUUUUCUAAGGACCAACUAACAGAAUCCCACUCUAACACGCCUCCAAAAAAACAACAAAAGUGUAAUAUGAAACUGUUUCAAGUCAAAAACUAAUUUUUUUAACACAAGUGCAAUGAUAUGUUCAGAAAUUAUUAUAUUAAUUUUAUUUCAUUACAAAAAGUAAAUGUGAAAUGAGUUGCAGCUUAAUAUGAACAACAAACUGCACAUGUGAAAAAACUGCAAUUAAACAUAACAGCCUAGGUCCCACUUAAUGUCAUUCCAAAGAGCCAUUAGUUUAAACCUCAGUGGUGGUGGGUAUAUGGUUGUAACUAUGGUAACAAUAAAAUGCUGAAAAAAAAGGUUCCCCUUAAUUUCCAAAAUCACUGAAAUUACAGAACUAACAGAUAUGUGGAUUUUAGCUGCUUUCAGUUGACGCUUGAUCUUUUUUUUUCUCCUCUUUGGUUUAGCCACCGAUCCAUUUUUACGUUAUUAAAACAGAAUGGCAAGAACUGAUAUCACAGUUUCACAAGGGCAUUAAAAAUCUUUUUAAAUAAUUGACAAUUUUGUAUAAACACUUGCCUAGUUUAGGUCAUCUUUUGGCAGACCACUGGGGGGUUUGGGACCACACUUUAAGAAUUACUGCCCUAUAUAAAUGUGAAGUAAAUACUUGCUUUUAUAUUAUUAUUAUAUAUUGAUGGAUUUUUUUUGUCCGUAGGUACAGAUUAACUAGUAUCAGCUUAGUAACCACUGAUUAAUCUAAAUGUUUUCAAGUUAACUUCUCUUUUGUGUUCUUUUGCAGAUGCUUUCAUAAAACAUCAUAAGGUGGAAACUGUUGGACAGUUAUGAUAGGCUAUGAACUCUGAGAUGGCAAAGAGAAAGGAGACAUAAGCCUGCCCCCAAUCCAAAUUUAUGCUUUGAUUUUAUAUCUGAAGUCUAGUAUUUGUUGCUGGCUGGAUUCAUGUUGUUAAUGUGCAGUUAAUGGAUAUACUAUAUAUGUGCUUAACAUAUAUAUUAUGUGCAUAAAUGUAUACCCCAUUGUUUGUAAAAUCUGAUUUCAGUGCCCACUGAUUUAUUGGGGCAGUGUGAUAAAA